GCAUGGAUAUCAAAGGAAUAGUGAGGGGCAGCACAAGAGGUGGAGCACAUGUUUGUUUUUAAGCAAACCGAAGAACCUUUUCAGGUCUUGACAUCCCGCCGGCAACUGUGAAGACAGAGCUUCCCUUGGGGUCAGCGGUCACGGGUGCGACAUGGUUGUCGUCAGGUCUUGUCAGAAGAUGUUGGGUUAAGUCCGGCAACGAGCCCAACCUUUAUCUUUGGUUGCCAGCAUUCAGAUGGGCACUCUAGAGAGACUGCCGUCGCCAAGACGGAGGAAGGCGGGGAUGACGUCAAAUCAUCAUGCCCCUUAUGACCUGGGCUACACACGUGCUACAAUGGUUGGUACAACGGGAUGCUACCUCGCGAGGGGACGCCAAUCUCUUAAAACCAAUCUCAGUUCGGAUUGUAGGCUGCAACUCGCCUACAUGAAGUCGGAAUCGGUAGUAAUCGCGGAUCAGCAUGCCGCGGUGAAUACGUUCCCGGGCCUUGUACACACCGCCCGUCACACCACGGGAGUUUGCAACACCCGAAGUCGGUGAGGUAACCGCAAGGAGCCAGCCGCC
rnacentral:rRNA from 1 species